rfam:Marchantia polymorpha subsp. polymorpha scaffold146, whole genome shotgun sequence.
GUCUUCCCCGUCAACAUUUUAUAUUAUUGUAACGAUAGAUAGAAGAUUAGCAUGGCCACUGCGCAAGGAUGACACGCACAAAUCCAGAAUUGGUCCAAAAUUUA